GAUGGGGAUGGUUCCAGCCCCUCUGCCAGGGCUCCGUCCGAGAUCUCCGAGGCGCUCUGGCCCUUAGCUCCCGGACUGGGCUCCCUGCCCUAUCUUGCUUCCCUAACUCCGGGACCAGCUGAGUUCCCAACGCUGAGUAACCUGGAAAAAGUGAUUACUUCUCUCCCGGCCUCAGUCUUCCCAUCUGUACAAUGGAGGAAGAUCUCCAGCUCUGUCUCCUACAACCCACCUCCCAAGGUGGCUCUAAAGCAUGCGGGGUUGGAGGGCGGCGCUUAGCGGAAAGCACCUGCGAGUUCAAAUCCCAGUUCCACUCGGCCUCACGAUGUGUGUGCCCCGUGUGAGUCGGUUCUGCUCCCUGGGCCUCAGUUUCCCCACCCGUACAACGUGAGUGAUCAUCCGUCCUCUGCUGGACAGUUGGGAGGCCUUGGUCCGGGCCUCCGCACCCCUCAUCCGCCCUGGGCACUCAGCAAGUAUUACUUCUGUCUUUGCCCCCUUUGACAGAUGGGAAAACUGAGGCCCAGGAAGAGGUGGCCGCGGCUCAGUGGUGCCGCGAGGAGGCCCCUCCACGGCCGGCAGCGCCCCAGCCCCUCCCUCCUCCCCCCACUUCCCCUGGCCGCCGAAGGGAGGGACGCCGGGCGGGGCCGGGGCG